rnacentral:rRNA from 1 species
GAUGAACGCUGGCGGCGUGCCUAAUACAUGCAAGUCGAGCGAACGGACGAGAAGCUUGCUUCUCUGGUGUUAGCGGCGGACGGGUGAGUAACACGUGGAUAACCUACCUAUAAGACUGGGAUAACUUCGGGAAACCGGAGCUAAUACCGGAUAAUAUUUUGAACCGCAUGGUUCAAAAGUGAAAGACGGUCUUGCUGUCACUUAUAGAUGGAUCCGCGCUGCAUUAGCUAGUUGGUAAGGUAACGGCUUACCAAGGCAACGAUGCAUAGCCGACCUGAGAGGGUGAUCGGCCACACUGGAACUGAGACACGGUCCAGACUCCUACGGGUGGCAGCAGUAGGGAAUCUUCCGCAAUGGGCGAAAGCCUGACGGAGCAACGCCGCGUGAGUGAUGAAGGUCUUCGGAUCGUAAAACUCUGUUAUUAGGGAAGAACAUAUGUGUAAGUAACUGUGCACAUCUUGACGGUACCUAAUCAGAAAGCCACGGCUAACUACGUG